UUUCCGUAGGUGAACCUGCGGAAGGAUCAUUACAGUAGUCACCCAGGCUGCCGCAAGGCCUCCUGGGUAACCUACCACCCUUUGUUUAUUACACUUUGUUGCUUUGGCAAGCCUGCCCUCGGGCUGCUGGCUCCGGCCGGCGAGCGCUUGCCAGAGGACCUAAACUCUGUUUGUCUAUACUGCCUGAGUACUAUAUAAUAGUUAAAACUUUCAACAACGGAUCUCUUGGUUCUG
rnacentral:misc_RNA from 1 species